CAUUAUUGAUUGCGAAUCGUUGCCUUCAGUGCUGGCCGGCUUCGGCAAGUGCACGUCGGUGACUUUCAUCCAAUACCCUGUGAACCUUUGGCCUCUUGCUAGCUUCGGCCGGCAGAGGAUUUUACACAAACUCGAAUGUAAUGAAAUUUAUUGUCGUGCGCAAGCACUAAUGUACAACUUUCAACAACGGAUCUCUUGGCUCUCGCAUCGAUGAAGAACGCAGCGAAAUGCGAUAAGUAAUGUGAAUUGCAGAAUUCAGUGAAUCAUCGAAUCUUUGAACGCACCUUGCACCCUUUGGCAUUCCGAAGGGUAUGCUCGUUUGAGUGUCAUUGUACUCUCACACUCUCAAUCUUUUGAUUGGGAGUGGUGGACUUGGGUGUUGCUGCUUGACUGUGGCUCGCCUCAAAUGGAGUAGUGCAACUCUUGGUUGGACAUAGUACGGCGUGAUAAGUGUCUUCGCCGGCACCUCACUUAGAGGGUGGCUGAUCGGGGGCUCUGUGCUUCAAACCGUCUUCGGACAACAUCUGACAACUUG
rnacentral:rRNA from 1 species